CACCUAUAGCUCAGUUGGUAGAGCACCCUAGAUAUUGUGGGAAGGUCCUAGGUUCCAAUCCUAGUGUGGUCA
rnacentral:tRNA from 1 species